rnacentral:misc_RNA from 1 species
UGUAGUCCAGCCUGUCUGGAGUUCAAAUAGCAACUGUUAAAAGAAAUGCCAGUCUAAAGAACACUAAACCAGAUAAUGUAAUGAGGAAGGAGAUUGCAAGGAAGGAUAGUAUCAUAGCAAGACUAAUAAAACAAAAUCAAGAUGGUGUCCUCAUGAGGGAGAGGUUAGAGAAGGAUCUUCACCACAUGAGACACACUGCAGUACCAGCAGCUCCUACUAGUGACGAGGAGGAGGAGGAGGAGGAGAAUGAAAGAGUUACUAAUGACAGCAAAA